rnacentral:misc_RNA from 1 species
GAUGAAGAACGCAGCGAAAUGCGAUAAGUAAUGUGAAUUGCAGAAUCCAGUGAAUCAUCGAAUCUUUGAACGCACAUUGCGCCCGCCAGCAUUCUGGCGGGCAUGCCUGUUCGAGCGUCAUUUCAACCCUCGACCUCCCUUUGGGGAAGUCGGCGUUGGGGACCGGCAGCACACCGCCGGCCCUGAAAUGGAGUGGCGGCCCGUCCGCGGCGACCUCUGCGUAGUAAACCAACUCGCACCGGAACCCCGACGUGGCCACGCCGUAAAACACCCAACUUCUGAACGUUGACCUCGAAUCAGGUAGGACUACCCGCUGAACUUAAGCAUAUCAGCGGAGGA